CAGAAGUGCGAAUGCUGACAUGAGUAACGAUAAAGAGGGUGAGAGGCCCUCUCGCCGAAAGUCCAAGGGUUCCUGCUUAAAGUUAAUCUGCGCAGGGUCAGCCGGCCCCUAAGGCGAGGCCGAAAGGCGUAGUCGAUGGGAACCAGGUUAAUAUUCCUGGGCCAGGAGGAUGUGACGGAUUGUGGCGGCGUGCGUGCCUUAUCGGAUUGGCGCGUAUCCAAGACAGUCCCAGGAAAUAGCCCUCCAUGAGAUCGUACCCUAAACCGACACAGGUGGACUGGUAGAGAAUACCAAGGCGCUUGAGAGAACGAUGUUGAAGGAACUCGGCAAAAUACCUCCGUAAGUUCGCGAGAAGGAGGCCCGGUACACGACUACCGGGGGCACAAACCAGGGGGUGGCGACUGUUUAUUAAAAACACAGGGCUCUGCGAAGUCGCAAGACGACGUAUAGGGUCUGACGCCUGCCCGGUGCCUGAAGGUUAAAAGGAGGGGUGCAAGCUCCGAAUUGAAGCCCAGGUAAACGGCGGCCGUAACGAUAACGGUCCUAAGGUAGCGAAAUUCCUUGUCGGGUAAGUUCCGACCUGCACGAAUGGUGUAACCAUGGCCAUGCUGUCUCCACCCGAGACUCAGUGAAAUCGAAAUCGCAGUGAAGAUGCUGUGUACCCGCACCUAGACGGAAAGACCCCGUGAACCUUUACUACAGCUUGGCACUGAACAUUGACCCUACAUGUGUAGGAUAGGUGGGAGGCUUUGAAGCGUUGUCG
rnacentral:rRNA from 14 species